ACAAUGUGUUCAGCUGUCUCAUGAGAAGCAAAGCACCAAAGGCAGACUGGCACUCUGGACUUGGCAUCUACAGUUUCUCCCCAGGGGUCUCUGGCUGGUUGGUGGCUUUCUGCGUCUUGUUGGUUCUUUGCUUAGUGGUGACUCCCCUGCUGGUCAUUCAGUGGAGAAGAAUGAGAG